rnacentral:snoRNA from 1 species
AUCCUUUUGCAGUUCAUAAGCAUGAUGAAUGGGUAUUCAUGCGCUUGUGUGAGAUGUGCCACCUUCAAACUUUGUUAGGACAUUGGCAUAUUACCCAUCUGGCA